CAGGAAUGUUCUGUAACUUGGUCCCUCUGCUUCAGGAAUGUUCUGUAACUCCACCCCUGAUUCAGUGAUCAUGCUCACAUACCCUGUGGGUCCCUAUCUAAGGAGGCUUUCAUUUCUGGUUGAGCGCCCAGACUCCUCUGAGCCCACUUGGGGCUCGCUGAUGUAAUAAAGGUUUUUCUCCACCUCUUCAACUGACCAUCAGAUUCCUGAGUCUUCAGAUUAUGAGAGUGAUAUUCCAGAGCCACCACACUGAGCCAUAAAGCUCAGCGGUGCCUUCUGAGCUGUGACACUUGGCUAUAGCACUGAGUUGCUCUGCUCUGACGCAAUAGAUGACACUAUGUAAUGCUGGAUGCCCACAGUUGACAUAGCCAGCUGCUGGUCACUCUUGCUGACAGCCACCACCAUCCAAUGCCAGCUUGUGCUGGACACCGUAGGUUGACUCUGCUGGGAAAUGUUCUCUGCCACUGGUCUUUGUUGACUGCUCAUCUCUGGAGCUUUUUGGUGUUAUUUGCUCUGUCUGCAUUGCUCAGAAUAAAAGUGCCAAGUAGAUUUGUUGCCAGGUAGUUCUUCUAGAAAUGGUUCACACACACACACACACACACACACAAUCCAGGUCCUUCUUGCCUUGAACAAAGAAUUGGAUGAGAGAAGCCAAAAUGGUGCCAAAAGUUUAUUUGAAAAAUGAGGGGUGAAGGGAUAAGGGAAAAACUAUCUCUGCAGAGCAAACUUGGGCUAAACAAGAGAAGAAAAGAAAAAAAGAACAGAAAUAAAAGUACAUCUGGUGGGCCACUGUGAGGAGUCACCAUAGCAAGCUCCUUCUGGAAUCUGGUCUUCUCUAUGCUGACAAGAAGUUCUGGGCCAGGGAUUUCUAAAAAUGGGGUCCUGAGAAUCGUCCCAGUCCUGGGACCUUGAAAUUAACAGGUCCCUGCCCACUUUUCCAGCCAACUUUGCCACACCCUACCUGCUAUGUCAGAUUUACAGGACUUUUGGAACCCAGACUACCUGAGAAAUAAAGCACGAGCAGGUUCACAGGAGCACCAAAGUCGGAAGGAGGGUGGAGAAAGAGCCUUGAAGCCCCCAGUUGUGAGCCUGCCUGGCCAAAGAUCCAGAGGAUCGUGCUAAACCUGCUGCUGCUGGGCCUCAGGAUAGAUGUGCAACACAUUCCUGAACACACACGGGCUGUUGCUGUGACAAACUCUCCCAGUUCUGCUUGUUUUGUACACAUCACCAGAGAGUUCUAUGGAUCUACAAAUGAGAAUGGAAGCACAGGGUGCGCGGGCUCCGCGGUUCUUCCUGUGCAUUUAGCGCCGUCCCACGGAAACGCAACCCUCCGGCUCGACCGGAACAGCACUUUUCUGUCGCUCAUCUGAUGAUGUUCCAUUGUAUCUCAAACACAGAUUCGUCCCCAUCAGACCAGUGCAGGCCGGCUCUGGUUCAUUUUGAUGUCACCUCCUCAUUUCCUACGACCAUAAACUUCCUUCCUGACAAACAAGAUGUUCUAGUCUCCUCCUUAUGUGGGCUCGAGUGAAGCCAGUCCACAAACUGUGACUUAAACGUUUCCACACGCAGUCCAGGGGCAUUUAGUUCAUUCACAGUGUUGCGCAAACACCGCUUCCCUCUCCAGAAAUACUUUCAUCAUCCUAAAGGGAAAACUCCCGUGGUCUCACAGUUUUGCCAACUAGAAACCAGCCUCCCCUUCCCACUCACAGGGCCUGCCAAAGGAGGGCUCCCUCAGGGUGUGGGCUUAUCCAGGGCGAGGUCCCCUGGAAGCCCUGCCCUGCAACCGGUCACGUGGGCCAGCUUGCUGCUGGCUACUUGUACCAACACACUGACUCCAGCUGGGACGGGCUCUGGGGAAGCUGAGUCAGGACUCUCUCUUUCCCAAGGCCUGCUGUAGAUAAGCGACCCCU
ensembl:lncRNA